GGUGAUCUUUUCAAGUGAAGCUUGUGAGAAGGCCCGGUGUGCUUGUGAGAGGCAUUGAGCUCGCUCACUAGAGUGGUGAAGAGCAACUCUAGUGGAAUCGAGGUGUGGAGCGGUUCUUUGAUCCAAGUCGGCUCAAGAUCAAGAGGAGCCUUGAUAGAGGAGCAGUUGGAAUAUUGAAUCCACCUCAAUGUGGAUUAGGGAUGACCGACAAGUCACCGAGACUACGGGAAAAAAAUUCGGUGUCUCCAUUGUGGUUUGUCUACUUAAGCUUAUUUACUUAAAUUGCUUGCUUGUCACCCUAGGUUUGCAAACCUUGAUAUAGAGGUGUUGUUGCAUAUAGUUGAGACAUUGAAUUUUGGGUGUAGUCAUGUUAUAGUCGAUCAUUUUAAUUUCACGUCUUUAUCGGUUAAGUCUUGCUAUAUUUUUAGAACCGACUAUUCACCCCCCCUCUAGUCGGCUUCCUCGAUCCUACACCUCCUUCCCUCCCUCCUCUCUCUCUCUCUCUCUCUCUUUCUCUCUCUCUCUAGGUGACGAUGGGGCUCCGGCGGGGCUACGACGGCGCGUGGCCGUGGCGUGCGGUGGCAGUCGUGCAGCGCACUGUUGGCGACUGUUGGCAUGCCAAGUUGUGAACCGUAAGCGCACGGAUCAGUUGUAGAUCUUCCCUCAGAGUAUUCCCCCAAGGUUUAUCAAUCCGUGAAACUUAUAAUGCAAGAACUACUUCAACUAAUAAUGUUAGUAUGAACUUUGUUUAUGAAUAGAUUUGAUGUAAUUAGCAUGAACAUACAGAUAACAGAUAUGACCAAGAGGUAACCAAUCUAGAGCAACCUAGACUAUGCAUAUAUUGUAAUUCUAAGCAAAAUAGCAAAGCAAGACAUACGUGAAUCUUUAAUCAACACCUCGAGUCUAGUUCCCCAAAACCCCCCCUUACACAAAGCAGAUGCUGUCACGAUCCCC
rnacentral:lncRNA from 1 species